GUAGGUGGCAAGCGUUGUCCGGGAAUUAUUGGGCGUAAAGCGCGCGCAGGCGGUUCGUUUAAGUCUGAUGUGAAAGCCCAGGGGCGUCAACCGUGGAGGGUCAUUGGAAACUGGAGAACUUGAGUACAGAAGAGGAAAGCGGAAUUCCACGUGUAGCGGUGAAAUGCGUAGAGAUGUGGAGGAACACCAGUGGCGAAGGCGGCUUUCUGGUCUGUAACUGACGCUGAGGCGCGAAAGCGUGGGGAGCAAACAGGAUUAGAUACCCUGGUAGUCCACGCCGUAAACGAUGAGUGCUAAGUGUUAGGGGGGUUUCCGCCCCUUAGUGCUGCAGCUAACGCAUUAAGCACUCCGCCUGGGGAGUACGGCCGCAAAGGCUG
rnacentral:rRNA from 1 species